UAAAACCCCCUUUUUCUUCUUCAAGGAGGGGGUUAGAAUUUGUUGGGAAGAAAAUUCGGAAGGAAUUUUUUUUUCUUUUGGCUCUACUGUUCAUUACGGAAAACUAAUACAUCAGGUUGAAAAAAUUUUGUUGAGAGCGAAAACCUUUCGUCCGUUUCUGUCUGCUUCAGAAGACGGGAAUAGAGUAUAGGUGGGAGUAUAAAGUAGACUUGCGUUUCAAUUUCGAUCGUGAUAUCGUCUUCCCGUUCCGGCGGCACCAGUCUCUUUGAGCAGGUUCGCGGUGGAAGCACUCUUUCGAGCUUGUCGUCCCUGUUUUACUGCCAUCAAAGAGGUAAAUCUUGUCAUCUUCAUGCGUUUUUCCUCAUUCAUGUGUGUUUCUUGAUCGAUAUGGGGGUAGUCUGUUUGUUGUUGUGUGGGGAUUCUGGUUGCUUUCCGUCUAGUUGUUAAAUGUUGUAAAGUUUGACUUUCGUCGUUCAAUUUGGGAUUCAUUGUCUAUCUGUUGAGCUUCCGAAUAGAAUCCUUCCCUUGCCCACCUUGUUGAGACUGUUUCUAGCUGUUUUUUUUUCUUUUCUUUGAUUAAAAAAAGAAGAAGAAGAGAUGUGUAAGGUUUGUUCCUACUUGCCUCUCCUCUGUAUUGCAUAGCAACUCUCUUGCUUAUUUUCUCCUUUAUGUUAAGUGAGUUGGUUAGUUUGUUCGAAAUUGUGUAUAGAGUCACGUUUGGUCCUGUUGUUGUUUAGGUUUACUGUCUUCUCCAAGUUGAGGCUGAGAUGUUCUUUGUUGUUCUUGUAGCUAUUUCCUUAAGGAACACCAACUAGACUUAUUCGAUGUCUUGUUUGGUUUCCUUCGAGUUUUCUCUUGUGUUUAUCGCUUUGAGUUGCGAGCAAAUUCGGGUUGUCUUUGGUUCAGGUUAGAACCUCGUGUCUAUUUGGUUCUGAUCUAAACGUUGGAAAUAGCACUGAAUUAUAUUUUGCAUUGCAUUUUUUAUUUAUUUUGUAUCAAUUGUAUUCGAAAUACAACGAUAUUCAUCUUUUUUUUAAUUGGAUACAAAUACAUUUGACAGAGAGAAUGAAUAUAUAUUAUAUUCGUACGAAUACAAAUACACAAAUAAUAAAUAUAGUUUUUCGAAUAAAAUUGAAUUUAUGUAUAGUUAUCAAUUUUUUUUUAAAAUACAAUUAAUAUUCAUUAUAGAAUAUAUUUCUUAAUUUUUUGUCAAUCAGCCUAUGUUGCCUACGUAGUGCUCGUGUAUUUGCACUUAUACUACUUUUGUGGUAUCAUAUUUUAAGAUGGUUUGCACUAUUGUUAUAUUUCUUUUUUGUUUCUUUAGAUUUUUUGUGUUGGACGGAGGGGUAAUCUUAUCUAUCUGGGUAUUAGGAUAGGUGUUAUUAUGAUUCUGAGAUUAAUUAUUUACUUUCUUUAGAUUUUUUGCCUGAAUUUAAAUUGAUUUUUUUACGUCCCUCGUCAUUUUCAUCUAUACUAUGUCUUAUAGUGUGAAUUAGCAAUUUGAUAUUCCUAUAGUUAAUUACAAUUUCAAAUAUUACCUUCAGUGGCGACCUUCAGUGGCGGACUUACCUUGAUUCAAUGGAUAUCAAACGAUACCCUUUGUUGAAAAAUUACGUUGUAUAUAUUGAUUAAAUUUUAAUUUUAUAAAUAGAAACCUCUUAAAACAAGUUAAAGGCUUAAGAGUCUGUUUGACUCAACUUAAAAGCUGGUCAAAUUGACUUAAAAACUGAUUUUUGACUUAUUUAUCUGUUUGGCAAUACUCUAAAUAACUUAUUUUAAGUUAUUUUAAGCCAAAAGUUAAAAGCUGGGGUAGGGGUGCUUUUUUUUUUCCAGCUUAUAAGCUGUUUUAAGUUGUCCACAUUUUUACCUUUUUGCCCUUGAUAUUUUUAUACAAUCUCCAAAUUACCCACAUAACCCUAACAUCUCUUUCUUCUAUUUUUCCCUUUUCACGUGUGGAUGAUAGACAAUUACUAUUAUUAAUGAAUGAAAAUAAAAUAAAUCUUAAAUCUUUCAAGUAAUAUAUUCAAAUUAUAUAUUAUUAAAAUGAAAAUAAGUUGCACAUAUAACUUAAAUAAAAAUUUAUAUUUCUCUUAUAAAUAAUUUGUGAUAAUAAAGAAAUAUGUGAAUGAUAGACAAUUAUUAUUACCUAUGGAUGAAACUAAAAUAAAAUUUUAAAUCAUUCUUUAAUUUAUUCAAAUUAUAUAUCUUUAAAAUCUAUAAUAAGUUUAUAUUCCUCUUAUAAAUAAUCUGUGAUGAGAAAGAAAUAUGUGAAUGAUAGCAAAAUAUAAUUAUUUUAUGGCUGUAAAAUAUAAAUUAAUUAACUUUUAUUAUGUUAACAACUUUUAAAGGUAUUUCAGACAUUUUGAUUAAAAAAGCUGUUUAUCAGCACUUAUUUGCCAAACACAUCAACAACUUCUUUUUUUUAACUUCAGCCCUUUUAUCCAAACUCAUAACUGCUUAUUUUAAAAAUAAAUUUCAGCACUUUCAAAAAUAUUUUUUUAAAAUUGCUUUUGUUAAACCCAUACAAACUGGCCCUAAGUCUCGAAAAUGACAUCGAACAACUUGGUCAUUCUAUAUAUAUCUACCCUGUAAUUUAUUUUUUCGUGAUUUUACCUUUACGCACCCUAUGAAUAACACUAUUAAAUUAUAAUAAUUAUAGUGCUUUUUUUUUUUUUUAAUUUUAUAAAGUACCGUUUAUAGUGCAGAUUGUUUUUGGCUUUUUUAUUAAGUGGAUGGAUAUGCCAAAUUCUAGAGAUAAUAUAAUUAACCGACAUACUACAAUUCCAUAAAACUAUAUUUUAUAUAUAUAUAUUGUAAACGUAACUUCUACACUUUUCUUCAAUAGUAUAUUAGCAUAUAUUAAAUUAUAAUGGAAGUGUACUGAAGUUAGUGGUACAAAUCAUUUAAAUGAAAGGACUAGAUUCUGUGACAUUGUCAUUGAAUUUACUUAAUUUAUUUCUCUUAAAUUUCUUUAAUAUUUUUAAAUAAUGUUUUCGUUCAAACUUUACGCAACAUGUUUUAGGACCGUGGGAUUAAAAUAUAUUUCGUUAUAUUUUAUAUUUAAUUUUAAUUUAGGAUUAUAAAAUUUAUUUUUUUUUAAAAAAAGUUCUUUUAUAUCAAGUUAAAUCAGAUAAAUACAUUAAAACAUAGGCGAAUCCUCAACAAGUACGUAGGGGCUUUGACCAAGCUGAUCAACAUGGAUGGUUGGCCAGAGUUAAUCGAGGUGCUUACGGGGUACUGGGACAGUCAGAGGAUGGUCUUCCAUUUUGGAAUGACCGAAAUUAUCCCUACGCUAGAAGAGAUAAGGGAUUGCGUAGACACCGUGGGCACUGAUAUAGAAAGAAGAGCCCGAAAACAAGAGGACGUCUUCAUCCCCAACAAGCCUUCCGUAGAGAACAUCGCAGAUUGGUUGGUACUAAGAAAAGACUUCACAUGUUGGUGUCAAGAUUCCCAUGUGGUGUUCAGAGACCUCUAUGUUAGAUUCGGACACGCGAGUUUCUACGCCGCGUACAAUCGGGAGUUUAAGAUUUCUUACAGGGAGUGGAACGAGGUCCGCCCCUUGGCGUUUGCCGUGGCCUUGUUGGGAACAAUAGUCUUCUCGCGCGGUUCGAGUCUGAGCAUCAACACCAGAGUCAUAACGCUCGUCCAUACGUUGUUCAAAGGAUAGGAAAAUCAAGAAACAACAAAGUACUACUCCGUAGCUCCGGUCAUAUUAUCUGACAUAUAUCGAGCCUUGGGUAAGUGCGAAGAAGGACAUCGAUAUUUCUAGGGGUGUAAUCUGCUCCUCCAGUGGUGGAUUCUCAGCCACUUGGCGAAGGGUGCUGGAACUCGAGAAUCGCACACUCUCGACAACAAGAACACUCUCAAGGACCUAAAUGACUUACUAUUCUAGGCAAACAUGAACAAUCGGAGAACAAGAGGGAGAUGGGCCCAAAUUUUCUUCGAAGUAAGAGAAGAGGACAUCCAAUGGAUGCUUGACCGUUUCAUAUCCAAGGAAGUUGUCGUGGAGAGUCGUAGAUGUGUCGUGCUCCCUCUACCUGGCAUUCGGGGAAUUCUCCCUUACGCUUCAUUCCGAGUCUUGCGACAGUUUGGAAGAAAAUAGACCGUGCCCAGAGAAGCAUAUUAUGGCGCUUAUGUGUACGACAUCGGGGACGACAGAGUGGACGACGCUUCAGAAAUGCUUAGAGAAUGGAAAAAUGCCAAGCGCAUGGGUAAAGACACUAUCGCCCCUGACCGAUUCAACGCUGGAUAUGACGAAGGUUACAAAGCAUGGUUGAAGAGGGAUAUACAAAUAUCUCCUUUCAGAUUCCGCGUAGCUUUUGCAGUGUGACAGACAAACAAGCCAAAAUAGUGGCCGAAUUGCGAGAGUUAAAGGAAGAGGCCAAUGAAGUCUAUGCCAAGUUCGUAGAGAAUCAACACGCUCUUGAGAGGGAAACUCGAGAGACUGAGGCAGGGGUAUGAUGAGUUUGACAGCUGGAUCAAGCAGAAAAUCGAGAGGAUGCGAUAUGAGAGUCUGUAAGACAAAGGGCGUCUGGGUGAAGGUUUUCUACUGAUGCUGAGGUACAUGUUUCAGCAAUACAAAAUCCAGAAAGACAACGAUGGAACAGGACCAUCCGGAUAUCACCCCUGGUGGGUUUUUACUUGUAUUUACGUUACUUUAGCCCCUGCGUGGGCCUGAUUUUAUUGCACUUUCUAACGGCCCCUGCGUGGGUCUGUCUUUAUGUCUAUUUCCCUCUUUCGAACACUUUACUCAUUAUUAAAUAUUAUUUUGGGGGGAAUCAUUUAUUUGGUUUAAAUUCACAUGUACAUCAUUCGAAUGCGCUAGGCCCAUCCUUGGCACAAAAGGGUCCCCAUGCAUGAUUAGGACGCGAUAUGUAUGUAUAUUUAAAUGCUUAUGUGUUACGUUGCUUUGAAUGAGGAUAUGUAAACCCACUCCUAGGCAAAAUUCAAAAGAGUAUACAGAAGCCACUAUUACAAAUGUCCGAUCAAAAUUCCCAAGUCUCAAGUUUCUCACGCAAAAAUCCAUCUCCCAUACCACAGAUCCUGAAUACCUCUCUAUCGUCUCAGGAAAGGAGAAUCACCGCUAUGGACAAAGGCAAGAACGUCCAGACAGAGCUCACUAAGGAGGAAUUGCGAAGAAAGAUCGAGUGAGUCAUUCGAGAAAUUCAGAAGAUUAAGGAGAAAGGACUCAAAGUAGACAUGACCACGACAAUCUACAAAGCUGCGGCCGCGACUGGCGUCGCAGAUAAAAAGAAAGAAGGAGGUUGAGAUGGAAACUGAAAGCCUAAGAAAAAGGUUAAACAUUCUUCGUUCGACGAAAGGCGAGAGAAGCGAAAAUAGAUAUUGAGACUACCGUGUUGUUGGCCAGAAGUGCGUCACUCGAUGAGGAAUUGACGAUCUGUAGCAACUCAAAGGGCGAAAAAUACCCCGUCUGUGGCCAGGAAGCAGACGACAGUAAGUGUGGCAGUGGUACCGGAAUCGGCAAAACCGGACCGGUAAUUACCAGAACCGGUACGGAAUCGGUACUGCGUGUACCGGUUCAGUUUCGGAACCGGAACCUGACCGGUCCGGGAAACCGGUAAAAUAACUAUUGUUCCGUCCCGGUCCGGUAGUAAACCGGUACUAGACCGGACCGGACCGGUAUCCGGGACGAACCGAAUUUAAAAAAAAAGAAAAUUUAAUCGAAUCUAAUUUUUAUUAUAAUUUAAAUUUCAAACUUUAAAGUUAUAAAUUUAAAUUUUCAAACUUUAAAUUCAAACUAGUUUGAAAAUUUUAAAUUCAAAUUUUUAAGUUAAAUUUAAAUUUCAAACUUUAAAGUUAUAACUUUAAAGUUAUAAACUUUAAAGUUUUAAUUUAAAAUUUUCAAAAUUUUAAAGUUUCAAAUUUAAAUUUUCAAACUUUAAAUUCAAACUUUUAAAGUUUGAAAAUUUAAAAUUCAAAAUUUAAAGUUAUAAAAAUUUUAAUUUCAAACUCUUAAUUUUUGAAAUUUUUGAAUUUAAACAUGAAAGUUAUAAAAUUUAAAAUUGACUAUAUCAAAAAUUAAAUUUAAUACAACAAUAUUAAAAAAUAAACUAAGGCGAAUAGCCUAUAUUUUUAUUAAUAUAUAUUUGAUAUUACAAUUACAUUUAAAAAAAUAUUAGUUUGAAUUAAUAGUUGGUGCCACCAUAUAAAUCCCUUCGUAAAUCAUUCAACAUUUCUUUAGUAACAUGUUCGGGAAUAGGUUGAAUGGAAAGAUCUUCCAUUGCUUCAAUCCCAUCGUCACUAUAAUCCUGCAUUACUUCAUCAACGUCAUCUUGAAAUUUGGUCGGUAGUGGUUCACGACCCAAAUUUCUUCUCUCGACAUUAAUCUAAUCUCGAAAUAAUACCGAUAUGUCCAAGCUGUCGGCUGCUAGUGAAUGCCUAUGUUCUCCAAGUUGAAACCUUGUUGUACUAAAGACGCCUUCCGAAGCUACCGACGACGCUUGCAUUGCUAAUAUAUCUCGAACCAUCGGUACUAGUUUUGGAAAUCCUUUGGUGCGCUCUCUCCACCAUUUGAGAACAUCUUCAGUAUGUUCUGUCAUUUGAUUAAUAUAUGCAUCAAAAUCAUUUCUAUUAUCGUGAGAAAGUUCAAGAUAAUCCUCUAAAUAAUUAUCAAUAUUAUUUUCAUCAAAUCUAACCCUAGAGCUUUCAGGUUCAUUUUCACUUGAUAAAUUUUUAUUAGCAUUAUAUAAAUCAUAUAAUUUUCUUGCUUCAAUUUUUGUGCUAUCUUUAACUUGUUGACAGCUAGGAAUUUCUUCUAAUUCAUCAUUAAUAUCUAAGUUAAAAUAUAUUUUUUCAACCAUUCUUGAUGAACCGAAAUCUUUAUACUUAGGGUGUAACAAACACGCAGUUAAAUAAAUUUGAGGAAUAGGAAUAUAAUAUUUUUUAAAUUUUAUAAUCAUUUUUUCAACGGUUUGUUGAAAUCUUGGUUUAUUUUUAAAUUUAUAUAAUUUAGAAGAAAUCAUACAAAUAUCAGGCAAAACAGUACAAAUUGAUGGACUAUAAAGUACAGAAAUUCUUUUUGUAGUUAAGUAAAAAACUUUAAGGAAAUCUAUAAGUUUAUUUAUAUCACGCCAAUCAUUAUCAUCUAGUCUAUAUGUCAUAUCAGAAUUAUGAGCAUUCCAAACCAUUUGUAAGGGUAUUCGAUAUUCAUAAGCGACUACAAGCAUUUCAUAUAAAGUAUUCCAUCUAGUAGACACUGUUUUUGGAAUUUCUCUAGGUGGAAGAUUAUUUUCAAAACAGCGAUUUUGAAAAUCUUUACGCCGAGACUUAACUUGACAUUUAAAUAUAAAAUGACAUGCAUUUUCAACUUUCGUACAUCCGUUAUCAUACAUAUUUACACCAUCUCUAACCAUCAAAUUAUAUAUAUGUGCAGUACACCUAAUAUGAUAAUUAUCACCAUAAAAAGGACAAAGUGUAGUUUUUAAAUAUUGAACAGCAGAAUUAUUACUUGAAGCAUUAUCUAAUGUUAUACAACUUAUUUUAUCACAUAUUCCAUAAUUUUGUAAAAUAUCUAAAAUAGUUUGAGCAAUAUAACUACCGGUUUUUUGCAUUUGACAACAUUUGUAACCUAAAAUUCUUUUUUGCAUAUAAAAUUUUUCAUCAAUCCAAUGUGCAGUAACAGUCAAAUAAUCGUUACCAUUUACACUAAGACCCAUAUCAGAAGUAAUAGCUAUUUUACAAGUAUUAUAAUAAAAUAAACAAUGAAGAUAUUGAAAAUGUUGUGCAUGAUAAUCAAAUACAGCCUUUUUAUUGUAUUUCUAGCAAAACCUUUAAAAUUUGGAUUAUAUACAAUUUGAAUAUGAUGUAUAAAACCGGGAUUUUCAGCAAAACUAAAUGGCAAACCCAUAACACAUAUCAUUUUACCUAGUUCUUCAAGAUCUUUUUCUCUACUAUAUGAAGGUAGUAAACUAGAUCCAGAAACAUUAGACGGAUUUAAUUGUGUUUGUACCAUUUUAGAGCCGCCUACUCCUACAUUUUCAGGAAGGGGGGUACCGUUUUUUUUAGCUUCCGCUACCGCUUUAGCAUGCAAAAAUUCAUUUUUACAACAAGACAUUAAAUGACUACUCAAAUGUCCCGUCCCGCCAAAUUUGCCCACAGUUUUAUGAUUUAAUAUAUGUGUACAUUUAUUACAAAUAGCUUGUGUUUUAUCUUCAUUUUGUAUCAUAAAUUGCCAAACAACCGAUUUUUUAACACGUUCUACCUUAGGCCUAGGAUGUACUGGGGGAACUGGGGCAGGACAACGAAAGGGAGCGGGACUAGGAGUAGUAGCUGUAGGUGGCUGAGUUUCAUCAUCAUCAUCAUAAAAAAUAGGCGUAUCAGUAUAAUUAUCAAUAUCAUAAUCAUUAUCAUUAUCACUAGGCAAAUCCUCAUCAAAAUUACCAAAGCGACGUUGUAAAUGUUCAUGAUAAGGAUCUAAUCCUGAAUUACUAUCAAUAUUAAAUACCGUAUUAUCAACAUGUGUAUAAUCAUCCGUAUUUAUUCUUAGUAUAGUAGAUUUUUUAGUUUUUGAUUUAGAAGAACUACCGAUUUUUGCAUUAUCGGAGGAUGUAAAGUUACAAACAUUUCUUACACGCUCUAAUGCACUUUUUUUCCCCUUUCCUUUUUGAACAAUAUUUUUUCUGAAACCAUAUUAAAAAAUUAAACGUGAGAAUAAAUAUAAUAAGAAAAAUGUUAUGCAAUUAUGCAAACAAUAAAUCACAAAUAAAUAAAUAAUUAUUUAAAUAUAAAUGAAACAUAAAAUAAAAGUUAGAACGAAUGUACCGAACGUCUACUUAAAAAAAGUAGACGUUUAUGACCACCGAUAGCCGAACGUGGAAAGUUGAAAAUUGAAUUUUGAAGCUCCAAAUCUAAUUUCCAAAGAUCAAGUAAGGCAACACCGAAAUUUAAGAUAUUAUAUAUUAUAGAUUAGAGAUUAGAGAUAGAGUGUAGAGAGUUGAGACUUGAGAGAGUAGAAGAUGAAUAGAUGAUAUUGUGAAUUGUGAUUUAAAAGAAUGAAAUUUAGGGGUAUUUAUAAGUAAAAAAAUGGGUUAAAGUGUAAUUUUUAAAACUUUAGGGUAUUAAAAAAGUUAGGGGUGGGGUAAGGGCUUUAUUGGAUGUAUUUUUCUUCAACUAGCCGUUGGGGGCCCACUAGCCGUUACCCAACGGCUAGUAACGACUCUAUUUAAAAAAAAUAAAUUAAACCGGACCAGACCGGACCGAUAAUUACCGGAACUGGUAAAAACUGGAUAUUCGGUAAUUUCAUCCCGGUUCCUGUCCCGAAAUCGGAAAACCCAAACCCUAACAGGUACUAACUGGUACCGAACCGGAUCGGGAUGGACUGGACCGGGAACUGGUAGGUACCGAUUCCGCUGCCACUCUUAGACGACAGUGGCCCCAACAAUGAAGUAACUGAGGAGGACGAUGAGGAGGAAAUCGUCUACAAGCCUCCAUUUCCGACUGUCUGAAAGGAAUGACGUAGCCCCAGGACAAGAAAUGACCAAAAUGUUUUCGUCGCCUGGGAAUUUCAAUGUUGUCUUUAAUUUCCUUGUAAUCACAAUAAAAGAAUGAAUGAAAAGAUUUCGUCCUAAAACCCGAACUACGCCUGAAUUCUCCUUGUGAGAUACGUAGGCAGCCUUUCCCGGCCUGGCCCCUACCGCUGAAAAUUUUCAUUCUCCUCCGUGUUACGAAGAUAUGAAGAUAAGAUCAACGGUCAUCGAAAGGCAGCUAGCAAGAAGACCAUAACUCAACGUGAUUCAGCCUUUCCGAGAUAGCCCUAAACAAACAAAUUCCUGUUUGUUCAAAAUAUAUUUCUGUCCUCAUUCGUGGGUUAAGAUAUCCUCAAACAAAGCGACUUGUGUGUUUAUCUGUUUUCUGUGCGAUAUUAUGCAUUUUGUACUCCGAAUAUGCACUAACAAAUCUGCCUUUGAGUUGUUUCAUCACUCAGGUACCUUUGACUGGUCUGUGUCGAUAAAAGCUGACAGAUCACCCCUACUUCACCAGAUCAAAAGGUCCUGCAGAUUCCUUCCCGGACCGAACUGAGAUAGAAGAAAUACCGCCAUGGGAGACAACAAUGAUGAAGUUAGUCUCACGGAUGUUGUGGUGGCUCAGCCCACCGUGGCAGAACAGAAUGAGCUAAUUGCGCAGCUGAUACAGCAGAUAGCAGAUAUGAGGGUCGAGAUGCAACGAAGGCAGGACACGCCUCCACCCGAAUUCGACCCCAAUUUCAUCGAUGAAAGACCUCCGAUGUACUUCCCCUCAUCCAACUUGGAUCCUACUCAGAACCAUCUGUCGACACCCGUGCAUAACCCGUCCGGGAUAGAUAUGACAACCCAAAACCCCCAGUACGCUUCAGUCUCCUAUCAAACUCCCUCGCCGCUUCCAAACAACCCUCCACAAAUACCACCACAUCCCCAGAACGCUCAAACAACCCCACCACCCCAAAAUCAGAACCAAAAUCCGACCGCCUUCAACCCCCAGACACCACAACCCCACUUGACCCAAAAUACCAAUCCCCAAAAUUAUCCACAAAACUAUCAAACUGCACAGAACGUCCCGAGCCCUUCCAUAGCCCCACCCUUCCCAAAAAGAACCACAUUCCAAGUCCCCGUCCCGACCGAGCAUGAGGUGCACGGUUCCGAGUUGGACCAUUACGAGGAGCAGGAGAGAGAGUGGAGGGCGAGGGAAGAAGCGAAGAUAGACAUAAAGAAGGAGAUAAAAAGGGCAAUGAAAGAAUUGCAAUGCAUUCAAGACGUCGCCGGAUUCAGUUAUGCGGAACUGUGCAUCCACCCAGACUUGAACCUCCCUGAAGGGUUCAAAAUCCCGAAGUUUGAUACGUUUAGAGGGGUGGGCAACCCCAUGGCGCAUUUAAGAGCGUAUGCGACGAAUUCGUGGGAGUUGGCAAAGAUGAAGCUUUGUUGAUGAGGUUGUUCAGCCGGAGUCUGUGCGAUGAGGCCCUGGAAUGGUUCACGUCGAACGAAACUCGACAAUGGACCAGUUGGAGUGCACUGGCUACGGAUUUCAUUGACAAAUUCGCGUACAAUGUCGAGAUAGUCCCUGAUCGAUACUCCUUAGAGAAAAUGAAGCAGAAAUCGACAGAAAAAUAUCAGGAAUUCGCCUACAGAUGGAGGAAAGAGGCAGCGAGGGUGAGGCCUCCGAUGACAAAAAAGAAGAUUGUAGAGGUGUUCGUACGGGUGCAAGAGCCUGAAUACUAUGACAGAAUCAUCUUGUUAAUCGGUGCCAAGUUCGCCGAGAUAGUCAAAGUGGGUGAGACUAUCGAAGAUGGCCUGAAGUUGGGGAAGAUAGCCCGAGUGUCCGCGUCGCCUGGAUCUUCCGAACUUGUGAGGAAGAAGAGAGAGGAGGUUGCCUCUAUUUCAUACGGGGGAAAAAAGUUCCCAGAAACUCCUCGCGUCCUCAAGACCGCUCCAAGCCUCUACCAAAGUCUCAUAAAGCCUAUCGCCCACAAUCCAAUCAUUCUGGCAACUACCAUGCUGCCCUCGCUUAUCCAGAUGCUCAAAUUUUGUCAUAUAAAAAUCCACCCCCAAAUCCCAAAAAUUUUCCCUCCGUAUACCCAAAUUACCCCCAAUCUUAUCAAAUUCCUCCCCCUUACCAGAAUGUCGCUCCCAGCUGCGCUAAUGUACAACCAAGCUAUCGAGCACCUUCCCCCCAUAUAAAAUCCAAACUCCAGCAUAUCAAAGCCCCCUCCCAAAUUACCAAGCUCUAGUGCCAAACUACAAGACAAAUCCCUACCCUAGAACCCAAACUCCUCGCCCAAAUGCUCGCAACUAUCAACAAGUUCCUCCCCCUCAACAGAGCGGGUAUGAUCCUUCUCGUCCCAGGUUUGAGAAGAAGCCCUCCAGAAACUUUACGGCGCUGGCUGAAAGUAGAACCAAGUUGUUCGAAAGAUUAUCCGCGGCCGGAUACAUCCACCCUGUGGGGCCCAAGCCCGUGGAUGUCAACUCCAGAUUCUACAAACCGGAACAGAGAUGUGCUUAUCAUUCCAACAGCGUUGUACAUGACACUGAAGACUGUAUCAAUCUUAAGCACAAGAUCCAGAAUCUGAUUGACCAGGAAGUGGUCUCCCUUUAGCCUGCGGCGCCGAACGUCAACACGAAUCCGUUGCCGAAUCAUGGGGGUGGAAAUAUCAACAUGAUAGAAACAGACGAAGAUGAGCGUGAGACUAAGAGGAUUACUCUUGUUGAGCAGGAAGACUUGGAAAAGGCUGUCGCUUCUCUAAGCGUCAGGGAAAAAGGAGAGUUCAUUAUUCUGACACCUGCGAAGGAUGUUGCCUUGGUGCCCUUGAAGACUCCCGCCAAACCCAAGUUUGUCAUAGAAAACGUCGUGGCCCAAGGCAUGACUAGAUCUGGUAGAUGCUACACUCGUGAUGAGCUUGCUCUCGGAGGACAAAAGAAAGAUCAUACCAAGAGACCCAUAAGUGAAGCAGAAGCCGAGGAGUUCUGGAGGAGAAUGCAGCCUAAAGAUUACUCCAUUGUCAACACUUGGAGAAGACUCCAGCCCAGAUUUCUGUGUGGGCCCUACUGAUGAGCUCCUGGUCCCACAGACAGGCUUUGAUGAAAGCUCUGGAUGACACGUAUGUGCCCUCAGGUACGAGCAGCGAUAAUGUAGCUGCCAUGAUUCACCAAGUCAUUCGGGAAUACCGCAUCAGCUUCUGCGAUGAUGAAUUGCCAGCCGAAGGGAGAUCCCAUAACAAAGCUCUACACAUCACCGUGAUAUGCCGCAGAAAGGUCAUCAAUCGUGUUUUGGUAGACGUAAGUUGCCAAAGUACGAUUAACCUCUGGAUUUGAAAUCAUUGCUUAUAUACCCGGUAUUGGCCAUAAUUCACAAGAAUAUUCAGUAGUUUUAGUAAGAGGGGGAAGGGUUAAGGAUUUACCCGGUGUGAGAUAUCACAUUGUUCGAGAAACCCUAGAUGCUAUCGGAGUAAAGGAUCGUCAACAAGGGCGUUCUAGUGCGUUGUAGAUUCUUAUCCAAAUCUGAUUUGAACAUAUGCCCCUUGUCCACAUUGAAGCAGCUGAGGUUUGACCUCGGAAAGUUGGAGCAAAAUCAGGUUAACAUAAGAGCGUUUGAUGUGUGCAAAGAGACACAUCGGGGGCGGUGAAUUUGACCCUUCAAAUGGGCCCCACUAAGUUCGAGGCGAAGUUCCAAGUGUUGGAUAUCGACACCAACUAUAACCUUCUUUUGGGAAGUCCAUUCAUUCACAUGGCUGGGGCUGUCCCCUCCACUCUCCACCAAAUGAUAAAACUGGUAUGAAAAAAUGAAGAGCUAGUUAUUCACGGUUAAAGGAGCCACUCAGGCAAGCAAGUGCCAGUCUUUGACGAGACGCCGCAAGGUUCGGAUUUUUACACGGUAAAGUUGGUAAAUGCCACUGAUGAAGGCUUGGCCCCGCAGACUCCCAUGUCGGUCGUGUACUGAUUGAUCGCAACGGUAAUGCUGCAGAAUGGGUUCGAACCAGGUUUCAAAUUGGGAAGAAAUUCCCAAGGGAUUAUCGAGCCAGUUUUGGUCCUUGAUAAAGAAUCUAAAUAUGGUUUGGGGUACAUCCCCACAGAUGACGAUAUGAAGACAAAGAAGAAAAAGGAUCAAGAGUUGGCUAAAACGAUCCCGCAUCUGUAUCAAUCCUUUCCAUUCCGAGAAUAUUCUGAGCCUGAAGACAGUGGGGAAGGACUGUGUGGCCUUUUCAAGGAGAUCAAUGCUGUCAUUAAGGAGGAGGUCGAGCCAGCUGGCAUUCGUGAUGCUGAACUAGGGGAGAUGCUGCAAAAUUGGACGACCACGCCAUUCCUGAUGUCCCGAACUCUGUGGUAGAAAGGAGUUAUUUUGUGCAUACUAAAAUCGGUGGUCAUCCGAAAGAGGCCCGAGACCCACAAUUUCUGCAUUUUUCUUGAUUUUGAAUUUUGUUGUGAUGUUUAAAAAGCGACAUAGACCUUUGCCAUGACCCAAGUUUGCAUUUUGUUUGAUUUAAAUGAAAGCCUCCUUAUUUUGACUUUGUUUAUUUAAUUGCUUGUUAUAUUUUACUUUCCUAAUUUUGUCUGUUUAUGAUUUCAAUAACAUAAGUUACAAACCUGCCAAUGUCAUGUCAUGAGCAAAAUGAGCAAAAUGAGGCAAAUAACGACGAGGUUGACGACUAUGACGAAGAAAUUGGGGAACCGGAUUAUGUGGCAGAAGAAUUUCGACAGUUCGAGAAUCAACAUAAACCGAAUCUGGAGAGGUGACAGAGACAGUGAAUUUGGGAGAUUUAGAAUAUGUAAAAGAGGUUAAGAUCAGCACUCACCUGAAUGAAACUCAGAAGGAGAGCCUGAUUCAUUUGCUUGCCGAACACAGUGAUGUGUUUGUUUGGGAAGUUGGUGAUAUGCAGGGUUUGAGUACCGAUGUCAUAUCUCAUAAGCUACCUAUCAACCCAGGGUUCAAGCCGGUGAAACAAAAGACUCGGAAAUUCAAGCCUGAAUAGAGAUUGAAGAUUAAGGAGGAAAUCACCAAGCAGAUAAAGUCUCGAUUGGUAGAAGUAACGCAAUAUCCAACCUGGUUGGCCAAUGUCGUUCCGGUCGCCAAGAAAGAUGGAAAAAUCAGGAUUUUUGUUGAUUACAGAGAUCUCAACAAGGCUAGUCCAAAGGAUAAUUUUCCGUUGCCAAAUAUCCAUAUUUUGAUUGACAACUGUGCCAAACAUGAGAUGCACUCAUUUGUGGAUUGUUACGCAGGUUAUCACCAAAUUUUGGUGGAUGAAGAAGACACAGAAAAAACGGCAUUCAUUACACCUUGGGGUGUAUAUCACUACAAGGUCAUGCCGUUCGGCCUCAAGAACGCCGGUGCCACUUAUAUGAGAGCCAUGAAGACUAUUUUUCAUGACAUGAUUCAUAAAGAGAUUGAGGUGUAUGUGGACAACGUCAUAAUCAAAUCCCGUGAGAGUUCGGAUCAUUUGACAUAUCUGAGAAAAUUCUUUGAACAUUUGCGUCGGUACAACUUGAAGUUAAAUCCCGCUAAAUGCGCUUUUGGAGUCCCAGCUGGGAAGUUGUUGGGGUUUAUAGUCAGUAGAAGAGGUAUUGAGCUUGACCCCUCCAAGAUUAAAGCAAUUCAAGAGUUACCUCCGCCGAAGACGAGAAAAGAAGUGAUGAGUUUCUUGGGGAGGUUAGACUAUAUCAACCGGUUUAUAGCACAAUCAACAGUGGUAUGUGAGCCCAUUUUCAAGUUGCUGAAGAAAGACGCCCCGACUAAGUGGACUGAGGAGUGCCAGACCGCUUUCGACGCUAUCAAGAGCUAUUUGUCUAACCCACCAGUAUUGGUUCCUCCGCGAGAAGGGAGUCCUCUGUUACUGUAAUUGUCUGUUUUGGAUAGUGCCUUUGGAUGUGUACUUGGCCAACACGAUGAGACAGGAAAGAAGGAAAAGGCUAUUUACUACAUAAGCAAGAAAUUUACUCCGCACGAGUCUCGGUAUACUUUGCUGGAGAGAACGUGCUGUGCUCUGACAUGGAUCGCCCAGAAAUUCAGACACUACUUGUCUUCAUACACCACAUAUCUCAUUUCCAGAAUGGAUCCAUUGAAGUACAUUUUCCAGAAAGCGAUGCCGACUGGAAAGUUAGCUAAAUUGCAAAUGCUGUUGAGUGAGUUUGAUAUCGUGUAUGUGACUCAGAAGGCAAUAAAGGCACAAGCUUUGGCUGAUCAUCUUGCGGAAAAUCCCGUUGAUGAAGAAUAUGAACCUCUCAAGACAUAUUUUCACAAUGAAGAAGUGUCAUUUGUGGGUGAAGAUAUUUCUGAAGCGUAUCCAGGAUGGAGAUUAUUCUUUGAUGGAGCGGCGAAUCAUCAGGGUAAAGGUGUUGGAGCGGUCUUAGUAUCAAAAUCUGGUCAGCAUUAUCCUAUGGCAGCUAAAUUGCGAUUCAACUGCUCAAACAACAUGGCUGAAUACGAAGCUUGUAUUCUUUGUUUAAAAAUGGUCGUUGACAUGAAUGUUUACGAGUUAUUGGUUAUUGGAGAUUCAGACCUUCUGAUUCAUUAGGUUCAAGGUGAAUGGGCUGUGAAGAACUCGAAAAUUAUAUCGUACGUACAGUGUGUGCAAAAUCUGUGCAAAAGGUUUCGCAAGAUCGAGUUCAGACAUACUCCCAGAAUACAGAAUGAAUUAGCUGAUGCUUUUGCCACCAUCGCUUCAAUGAUCAAACAUCCGGAUACUGUUUACAUCGACCCGCUGGAUAUAGAUUUGAAGGAGCAUCCAGUCCAUUGUUCACAUGUUGAAUCAGAACCAAAUGGCUUGCCUUGGUAUUUUGACAUAAAGAGAUACUUGGAGUCUGGGACAUAUCCAGAAGAUGCUACAUCUAAUCAGAAGAAGUCGAUACGUCGUAUGACUCUCAAUUUAUUUCUGAAUGGAGAAGUCCUGUAUAGGAGGACUCCAGAUUUGGGUCUUUUAAGAUGCGUGGAUGCUGCUGAAGCUGUGAGACUUAUUGAACAGAUACAUGCUGGAGUUUGCCGCACACACAUGAACAGGCUUACCUUGGCAAAAAAGGUUCUUCGAGCCGAUUAUUUCUGGAUGACUAUGGAGAAUGAUUGUUGCAAAUUCGUGCAUAAAUGCCACAAAUGUCAAGUGAACGACGAUCUGAUACGGGUGCCACCUCACGAACUUAAUACUAUGAGUUCACCUUGGCCAUUUGUAGCUUCUGGAAUGGAUGUCAUCGGUCCUAUAGAGCCGUCCGCUUCUAAUAGACACAGGUUCAUUUUGGUUGCCAUUGAUUAUUUCACCAAGUGGGUGGAAGCAGCCUCUUACAAGUCGGUAACCAAGAAAGUGGUGGCCGAUUUUUUCCGCAACAAUCUGAUAUGCAGAUUUGGAGUUCCAGAAUCUGUCAUUACUGAUAACGGUGCAAAUCUUAACAGUCAUUUGAUGAAGGAGAUAUGUGAACAAUUUAAGAUUGUUCAUCGAAAGUCAACUGCUUAUCGCCCCCAAAUGAACGGAGCUGUAGAGGCCGCCAACAAAAAUAUCAAGAAGAUUUUGAGGAAAAUGAUUGACAAACAGCGAGGUUGGCAUGAAAUGUUGCCAUAUGCUCUGCUAGGUUAUCGAACGACGGUCAGAACAUUGACUGGGACUACUCCAUACUUGCGAGUAUAUGGAACAGAGGCAGUCGUACCUGUUGAAGUCGUGAUACCGUCGUUGAGGAUCAUCCAAGAAGUCGAAUUAAGUAACGCCGAAUGGAAUAGCAAGCGGAUUGAUCAACUAGCCUUGAUUGAUGAGAAGGGAAUGGUCACCGUUUGCCAUGGCCAGUUGUAUAGACAGAGAAUGACUCGCGCUUUUCACAAAAGAGUAAGAGCCAGAAAUUUUGAAGUUGGUUAGUUGGUUCUUAAGCGUAUUUUUCCUCAUCAAGACGAGUACAAAGGAAAGUUCGCACCAAACUGGCAAGGCCCCUACAUGGUUCGUAAAGUACUAUCUGGAAGUGCUUUGGUCCUGUCAGAGACGGAUGGCGCUGUGUGGCCCAGACCUAUCAACUCAGAUGCUGUCAAGAGAUACUAUGCGUGAAGUUUCAUUUUGCAUUUUUCUGUUAUUUACUUGUAAUCGUUCCGUUGGCUUGUAUUUGUUCAAUUUGAAUUAUUAUCCCUCUUGUAACGAACUACGUCUGACCUGAAUUCUCGAGGACGAGAUACGUAGGCGUCCUAUGUCGGUUUCGAUCACCCCAUUUACCCCCCUUUAAUUAUUUAUUUGCAUCUGAACUACGUUUGACCUGAAUUCUCAAGAAUGAGAUACGUAGGCGGCCUUUAUCGGCCUCGGUAAGUCUUCUUUGUAAAUUUUAUUCUUGUUAACCUUUAAGGGGAACUACGUUUGACCUGAUUCCUGCCUCAACGGGAUACGUAGGCGCCACACGGGCUCGGUCAUAUCUCUCGUAAGAUUUCUAUUCCCCUUUACAAUAGGACUGGGACAGAAUUUUUGAGAAGAUCUCAAAAAUUCCGCGAUCUGUGCAAUUACAAUGGAAAGAUAAGCAGGACAGUAAACUGGGACAGAAAUUUUGAGGAUAGCCUCAAAAUUCUGUUAUGCGUCUUCCCUACAAGUCCAGAAUGCCUCUGGAAACUCAUCAGAGAGUGUUAGAUUCAAAGGAGCUCGUUAGGCCUGACAUGACAUGACUUGGCAGUGACUUUUUCAAGAUACUAUUUCUUAAAAAUUCCUUGUUUCUCUUAAAAUUUCCCUUUUAUAUUUCAUUUGUUUUGGCAUAAGAUAUUUUCUUAUCUAUCAAGAGUUGAGAAAUCGGGAAAUCAAUCGGAGAUGUCAAGACAAGGAGCAAACAACCGAAGGGAUCGACACAGAUCAGUAUAUUUAAAAUUGAUAAUUUUUCUGUGGAUGCAGGUUUAUAGCUUUGCUUUGAAAUUGGCCGAAUUCUUCCGACGGAUGAACACGGAGAGCUCCCAAAGAGGAGAAAAAUAUCUCCAAAACCAGUGAUUUUACUGAAAACAGGAGACAUUUCAUAUCGUUUGUGUCGAGAUGCUUGUGAAUGUGCUUGUUUAUUUCAAGCCAUUCCCCCAACAAUAUGAAAUUUACAAAAGUGUCUGGCCAGAUUCAAAGGUGAAUCAAACAAGAAUCUCAGCAAAGAUUUCGCGAUUCCUAUAGAAGACGCCAUUUGCAUUACGUCAUCGAAACAAGAUAAUUAUUGUCGAUCAAGACGACGCAUUACCCCAGAAGAGAUAGUUAUUUUAUUAUUUACUUAUCGAUCAAGUCGAUAUAGUAUUUGGAGGUCGUCUUGCCGUUAUCAUCAACAAAGACGAUAUGAAUAUUUAUGCAUUGCGGAAAUCAUGCAUCACGAAAAUCAUGCAUUGUGGAAAAUCAUGCAUCGCAAAAGUCAUACACUGAAGAUCAUGCAUCGCGGAAAUCAUGCAUCGCGAAAAAUCAUGCAUCGCAGAAGUCAUACACUGAAGGAUCAUGCAUUGCAGAAAUCAAGCGUCGUGGAAAUCAUGCAUUGCGGAAGUCAUUGCGGAAAAUCAUGCAUCGCAGAAGUCAUACACUGAAGGAUCAUGCAUAGCGAAAAUCAUGCAUCACGGAAGAGUCAUGCAUCGCGGAAAACCAUGCAUCGCGAAAAUCAUGCAUUGCGAGUUAACAAUUAUGUGCGAUGAGAAGAUUUCAUGGCUCGUCAAAAUUUAUAAAUCGCGAGAAGAUUCCAUACCUCGCUGAAAUUAAACGUCGCGAGAAGAAUUUAUACCUCGCUGGAAUUCAUGCAUCACGAGAAGAAUCCAUGCCUUGUUGAAAAUCAUGCAUCGCGGAAAAGUCAUGCAUUGUGGAAAAUCAUGCAUUGCGAGUCAACAAUUAUGCACGACAAGAAGAUUUCAUGCCUCAUCAAAAUUUAUACAUAGCGAGAAGACUUUAUGCCUCGUUGAAAUUUAGACAUCGCAGAAAGAUUUUAUGCCUCGCUGAAAUUUGGACAUCGCGAGAAGAGUUCAUACCUCGCCGAGAUUUAUGCAUCACGAGAAGAAUCCGUGCCUCGUUGAAAUUUGAACAUUGUGAGAAGAUUUCAUGCCUUGCGAAAAUUUACGUAUCGCGGGAAGAUAUUCAUGCCCCGCAAGAGGACAUACACGGAUAAAGAAAGAGCAUCACUUAUCCACUGGCCUCGAUUACAUCCUGUUAUUUCUUAUAAAAGUAAUCAUCAAGAAGAGCAUCGAAGAUAACGACAAAAGAGACAUCAAUAUCACAUCAACAUUUAUUUAUUUAUUGCGACAUCAUGUAUAGAGUACAUUGAAGAUUAUAUUGCAAAGCACAAGGCAUAAGCUUUAUUUGCUGGACGUCAGACCGAUCGAGUCAACGUCGACUAUUGAGGAGAACAAUGAGGUGUCGACAUGGUAAAAAGACACUGUCUCCCAUCCUAAUUGCAUUUUUAAGCUGACGAGUUUUAUCUCAGUCUUUGUCGAGAGCAUCCAAAAGGAUGAAUUCUCCGAAAACCACAGGUGCGGACGACAUCACAAAGGAUGCAACACAACGUGGAACUUUUUCUUAGUAGCGAACUGGGACACAGUCCAAAGAGGAAUGUAAAACUCUUAGGACGCGAGCAGAGGAGCGACUUCCACCACAAUCGAACCACCCUCUCGAGGCAUGCAGGUCUUUCUUUAGUUCUAUCAGUUUCAGUCUCGCGUCCGGAAGUUUUGAUUUAUCGGAAGCAAGUUUCCAAUCUGAGUGACGAUGCGCCAAGAGCUUUGGAAAUCAUGUCCGUGUAAGUUCUUAAUUAUAGGUGUGAAGCGCGCCACAUUCAUGGUUAAGAGGUUACAAGCCUCCUUUUCAUACUCGUUUAAUUUGUAGCUUGUCUAAAACCGAAGGUUAUCUAGCAUAAUAGACUCCUUUUCCACCGAUCGAGUCGAACUACACACAGCCUGAUUCCUGAAGCUUUAAGGAUAUGUAGGCGGAUUCAAUGUUGAAAACUCGGCUGUAUUCCAACAUUAGCUCUCGAAUUCUAUUCUCGAGCAUUUCGAUACCUUCAUAAUUCGGUAUCGAGGUGGAUUUUGAUUCUUUCAAAAUCGUGCGGCAAAUCAAGCUUAUCGAACUACAAGUGGCCUGAAUUCUCAAAUAGCCUAAGAUAUGUAGGAAACUCAUUUCAGGGGUUCGGCCAUAACUCCUAAACCCUUUGUCGAAUCCUUCCUUUAGAGAAUGAAUGGGGUUGGUCAAAAUUAGCUUAGUCAAUUUCAUUUUCCUCGAAUUGCUUGCAUCAACCCGAGUAAAAUGAGGGACAGUUGUUGACACCCAAUUUUUGACCCGCGUCGAUAUAAAUUAAUUAUCGAGCAUCUUAAAUUUUCCUAACGAUUUAAAAUAAUUAGUUUUACAAAAUUUGCGAAAAUAAUAUAUUAAUAUAAUUGUGUGCUAUUUUUGAAUAGUUUUGUCAUUUCUUAUAACCUUUAGAUAAUAUAUAUGUUUACGUAGUUAUGUAUAUAAUUGGUAUAUUUUACGUUUAUUCGAAAUCAUCCCAAAAAUAUUUAAGUUUUGGUAAGCAUCUUAUCUUAAUUUAAAUUGUAAUUAUACUUUGAAUCACUAUUUUAUAAUUAUAUUACUAAAACAAAAAAAAAGGGAGCUCGUGAAUUAAUUAAUAUAAAUUCAUUUUUUAUUUAAAGUUUGGCCAAAUUCAUUAUAUUGGCUCGAAUUGGCCAUUUAUUAAAUAAGCCUUUUUCCCUCAAACUCUUUUGAAAGACCAAUUUGGGCCUUUUCUUCAAAAGUGAGCCCAACCCAUUUGAGUUUUACUUUUCAGACCGCCCCAUCCCCUUUCCAAUUAAUUCCCAGCCCAUAAAUUAAUCCCCAAGCCCAUUCCCCUCCGACCCAACCCAACUCCCCUUCUCUUCCUUCACCCCAGGCCCACUUCUUAUCCCCCAACCCAAUUAAUCCCUCAACCCGGCCCAAUUCUUUUUUUUAAAAAACCCGCCCAACCCUCUUUUGACCCAACCCAAAUCCCCUUUCCCCCUUCCCCCCACGCGAUAUCCCCCAACAUUUCCAGAAAAACGCCAAAAAAAAACCAGAAAAAGCAAACUCCCAAAAAACAGAAAUCCCUUCCCUUCACACGCGAUUCCUAUGCAAUUUCCCCCCACGCAACUCUUAGCAAAACAGAGCCCCCCACACAGAGUUAACUCCUUUUCGUCUCCCUCACGCGCGAUGGUUUUCGGAAAGGAUGCCCAGCCAACUCGCAGCAACGAAAACCUGCACUGCAGCUGUCGCACGACUCUGCAGUGCACAAGGCGACGCAAAAUCGUCCUUGUAGCACGAGAUCGCCCCACGUCGUCUCGCAAGGACGCACAAUUCAUCUCGACCCUUCGCUUCCCCUUUUUCGUGCAAUUCUUCAGCUUUUGGAAGAGAAUUUCGAAUUUCAAAUUCGGAUAUGGGCCGAAAAAUCAUCUUCCCGCCCUCCUCCACAGAAACCCUAGUUUUUCUUUAUAAAACCCCCUUUUUCUUCUUCAAGGAGGGGGUUAGAAUUUGUUGGGAAGAAAAUUCGGAAGGAAGUUUUUUUUUCUUUUGGCUCUAAUGUUCAUUACGGAAAACUAAUACAGCAGGUUGGAAAAAUUUUGUUGAGAGCGAAAACCCUUGGACCGUUUCUAUCUGCUUCAGAAGACGGGAAUAGAGUAUAGGUGGGAGUAUAAAGUAGACUUGCGUUUCAAUUUCGAUCGCGAUAUCGUCUUCCCGUUCCGGCGGCGCCAGUCUCU
rnacentral:lncRNA from 1 species